GGCAGGGAGCGGCCAGGGCGCACUCACACGUGGCCGAGGGGCCCUUUGAUCAGAAAUACAAGGAUUAUGAGCCGGCCGCGUGAGCUGUUCGAAGCGAAUGGUGAUGAAUGGGAGGAAGGCAGCCCUGCUUCUAAACGGCUAAUUCUCAUAGCCUACGAAGUGGACUAGACAGGAAACCAUGAAGGCAGUAUCCAGGGCAACUGAAGCUCCUCUUCCAGAGGCGGAGUCUGUUCCACGCGCCUGGCAUCCGGGCGGGCCUGGGACUCCCCCGGCCAAUGGAUGCCACACAAGUGCCACGGUGCCAACCUGAGCCCAGCUGCUUCUGCUGGCAGGAUGCAAAAUGGCCGAGCCCAGAGGAGUGCUGCAACCGGCCCAGCGAGUAAGUGGCAGAGGCCAGAGGGCUCAGGCCGCAGGACCGUCCGAGGCCAAAGGUCGGACACACUCUUCCCACAUGGGGGUGCCCCCUGGAAGGGCAGAGGGCUCUUCAGAGACGUGAAGGCAUCAUGUUCCUGGGGACUGAGUUCUGGUCUGGGGGGCACCUGCCCCACAGGUGUCCUUGGGUUACUAAG